rnacentral:snRNA from 1 species
UUUAAUUUUGUAUUUUGUAAUAAAAAAAUGAAAAAAAAAAUCUGUUCUUAUCAGUUUAAUAUCUGAUACGUCCCCUAUCUGGGGACCAUAUAUUAAAUGGAUUUUUGGAACAGGGAGAUGGAAGAAGAGCUUGCUCUGUCCACUCCACGCAUCGACCUGGUAUUGCAGUACCUCCAGGACCGGUGCACUUCUC